AUGAAUGUGUUCUGCUGGAACUAUCGUGGCGCGGGUAAACCUGCGACAGUUCGAGAAAUUCGCGAAUUCGCGAUGAAGUUUACCCCUACCGUGCUCUGUAUUCUCGAGACUCGGAUAAGUGGGGCGCGUGUAGAAGCACUAGCGAGUACUCUAGGUUAUGAUCAAUCUUAUGCUAUUGACAGUCAGGGAAGAAGUGGUGGUAUUGGCAUGUUUUGGAAUAAUACAAUUAAGCUUGAGAUUUUGGGUGACUCCUCCUAUCAUAUUGAUGCUAAAGUUGAGGAACCAGUCCAAGAACUGAAGGAAAUAUGCCCUAGAGGCAAUAAUAAAGUUAUUAUUUAUUUCCUUAUAUCAUGGUAA
rnacentral:rRNA from 1 species